rnacentral:rRNA from 1 species
UUGCCAUCAUUUCAGUUGGGCACUCAGCGAGACUGCCGGUAAUAAACCGGAGGAAGGUGGGGAUGACGUCAAAUCAUCAUGCCCCUUAUGACCUGGGCUACACACGUGCUACAAUGGUUGGUACGACGAGUUGCGAGUCGGUGACGGCGAGCUAAUCUCUUAAAGCCAAUCUCAGUUCGGAUUGUAGGCUGCAACUCGCCUACAUGAAGUCGGAAUCGCUUGUAAUCGCGGAUCAGCACGCCGCGGUGAAUACGUUCCCGGGCCUUGUACACACCGCCCGUCACACCACGAGAGUUUGUAACACCCGAAGUCGGUGAGGUAACCUUUUGGAGCCAGCCGCCUAAGGUGGGACAGAUGAUUGGGGUGAAGUCGUAACAAGGUAACCAAGGGCGAAUUCCAG